AUAUAAUAAAAACCUCCUUCACAGAUCCUGAAGAUGAGUAAUUUAGCUGAUGGAAGGCGUAACGCUGAGCUACUUGAAGCUCAAUCACUUGUAUGGAACCAUAUUUUCAAUUUCAUCAACUCCAUGUCCCUCAAAUGUGCAAUUCAAUUAGGAAUUCCAGAUGCCAUCCGCAACCAUGGGAAGCCCAUCACCCUCUCUGAGCUCAUUGCUGCUCUAACUCAUCUCCACCCAGCCAAAGCCAAUUGUAUCCCUCGCCUAGUGCGCAUUUUGGUUCACUCUGGUUUCUUUGCUCGAGCAAAAAUCAGCCAAAAUGAUCAAGAAGAAGGGUUUGUUCUCACUAAUGCAUCCCAGCUCCUUCUUAAGGAUCACCCUUUGAGUCUGUCUCCCUUCUUGC
rnacentral:misc_RNA from 1 species